rnacentral:rRNA from 1 species
UACGUAGGGGGCAAGCGUUGUCCGGAUUUACUGGGUGUAAAGGGUGCGUAGGCGGCUUUGCAAGUCAGAAGUGAAAUCUAUGGGCUUAACCCAUAAACUGCUUUUGAAACUGCAGGGCUUGAGUGAAGUAGAGGUAGGCGGAAUUCCCGGUGUAGCGGUGAAAUGCGUAGAGAUCGGGAGGAACACCAGUGGCGAAGGCGGCCUACUGGGCUUUAACUGACGCUGAGGCACGAAAGUGUGGGUAGCAAACAGG